AUACGUAGGUGGCAAGCGUUGUCCGGAAUUAUUGGGCGUAAAGCGCAUGUAGGCGGUUUGGUAAGUCGGUCGUGAAAAUGCGGUGCUUAACGCCGUAUGGCGAUUGAAACUGCUGAACUUGAGUGCAGGAGAGGAAAGGGGAACUCCCAGUGUAGCGGUGAAAUGCGUAGAUAUUGGGAAGAACACCGGUGGCGAAGGCGCCUUUCUGGACUGUGUCUGACGCUCAGAUGCGAACGCCAGGGUAGCGAACGGGAUUAGAUACCCCGGUAGUCCUGGCCGUAAACGAUGGGUACUAGGUGUGGAAGGUAUCGACUCCUUCCGUGCCGGAGUUAACGCAAUAAGUACCCCGCCUGGGGAGUACGGCCGCAAGGCUUAAACUCAAAUGAAUUGACGGGG
rnacentral:rRNA from 1 species